UGGGGAAUUUUGGACAAUGGGCGAAAGCCUGAUCCAGCAAUGCCGCGUGUGUGAAGAAGGCCUUCGGGUUGUAAAGCACUUUUGUCCGGAAAGAAAUCCUUGGCUCUAAUACAGUCGGGGGAUGACGGUACCGGAAGAAUAAGCACCGGCUAACUACGUGCCAGCAGCCGCGGUAAUACGUAGGGUGCAAGCGUUAAUCGGAAUUACUGGGCGUAAAGCGUGCGCAGGCGGUUUGCUAAGACCGAUGUGAAAUCCCCGGGCUCAGCCUGGGAACUGCAUUGGUGACUGGCAGGCUAGAGUAUGGCAGAGGGGGGUAGAAUUCCACGUGUAGCAGUGAAAUGCGUAGAGAUGUGGAGGAAUACCGAUGGCGAAGGCAGCCCCCUGGGCCAAUACUGACGCUCAUGCACGAAAGCGUGGGGAGCAAACAGGAUUAGAUACCCUGGUAGUCCACGCCCUAAACGAUGUCAACUAGUUGUUGGGGAUUCAUUUCCUUAGUAACGUAGCUAACGCGUGAAGUUGACCGCCUGGGGGAGUACGGUCGCAAGAUUAAAACUUAAAUGAAUUGACGGGGUCAUAGCUGUUUCCU
rnacentral:rRNA from 1 species